GAUGAACGCUGGCGGCGUGCUUAACACAUGCAAGUCGAACGAUGAAGCCCAGCCUGCUGGGCGGAUUAGUGGCGAACGGGUGAGUAACACGUGAGUAACCUGCCCUUGACUCUGGGAUAAGCCCGGGAAACUGGGUCUAAUACCGGAUAGGAGCGCCUGUCGCAUGACGGGUGCUGGAAAGAUUUUUCGGUCAUGGAUGGACUCGCGGCCUAUCAGCUUGUUGGUGAGGUAACGGCUCACCAAGGCGACGACGGGUAGCCGGCCUGAGAGGGUGACCGGCCACACUGGGACUGAGACACGGCCCAGACUCCUACGGGAGGCAGCAGUGGGGAAUAUUGCACAAUGGGCGGAAGCCUGAUGCAGCGACGCCGCGUGAGGGAUGACGGCCUUCGGGUUGUAAACCUCUUUCAGUAUUUAAGAAGCG
rnacentral:rRNA from 1 species